rnacentral:sRNA from 1 species
AGCAGGAAAAGCCGACCGAGUAGGAAGUGGAAGUGGAUGCAUUCAUGGGGAGACCGGGAAAACUGAGAUUCGUUGCGACAAGGACGUUGCUGCAUUCACAGCAGUCGGUACUGACACACAAAGAGAUUUGCGAUGUGCAUAUGGAAGUAUAUAAAUAGAUCCAGGCGGCCGGCCAGGGAACGGAUGCCACGACUGCUGAAACAGAGCCAUCUCGAAUGGCGUCGCCUCUGCUGCCCACCCGAACCAGAUUCGUUUUGGCCAAAACGCCAAACAAGGAGAACAGGAGAGGAGACGGAUUUGAAUGUCACGUUGCAUUCGGAGCGUAACGGACUGUGCCUCGUUAUCGAUACCGCUCGUUAUCUGGCCACUUGGCAGGUGAAAGCGAUAGGGCGUGGGUCGACAUUGACAUUGACGAUGGCCAUGGCGGCGCAGGGUGGCAGGCUGGAAGUGGAGUAAGCUUCUCCGAUAUUACGAUAAUGUUAUCCAACCCGCGGUUACACUCAUUUUACAUUUUUUGGGGGGCUUUCAGGCAUUUUGGGCAUUCGUUUGCCGUCUGCGACAAACAGAGCAUAAACACUCGAUGACGGCAAUUGCUCAACUCGAUUCGCUUGCAUGCAGACAAGGCGGAGGCGAGGCGGGGUGGUGGCUCCUCCUGGCCGUUUUCCUUGCAUGUUCAUGCAUUAGCGCCUCGGAAAAUCAUUGAAAUGGAAAGUGAGCCACCGCUGUCGAUAAGCAAGGACCUUUUAAACCAACUGUGUGCCUCGAAAUAACGUGCUUUGCCAAGUUGCCUUGGUUUUGGUUGUAUAGUAUUAUUUUGUUCUUUUUAGGACAAACAAUUUGCAGUUUCAUUGGUUCUUUUAUACUAAGCACUAUACUGUCACUAUCUGCCCAAAGUUUACUUUCUAAAGUUUACUGUAGUCCGUGAGUCCAGUACCUAUUAAAUCAAUAGUGGAAAAACUAGUGCAGGAUGAGAAGUAAAUCAAUAUUCAAACUAAAAA